AUUGAACGCUGGCGGCAGGCCUAACACAUGCAAGUCGAGCGGAGCGGCGGACGGGUGAGUAAUGCCUAGGAAUCUGCCUGGUAGUGGGGGAUAACGUCCGGAAACGGGCGCUAAUACCGCAUACUAUCAGAUGAGCCUAGGUCGGAUUAGCUAGUUGGUGGGGUAAAGGCCUACCAAGGCGACGAUCCGUAACUGGUCUGAGAGGAUGAUCAGUCACACUGGAACUGAGACACGGGCCAGACUCCUAGGGUAGGCAGCAGUGGGGAAUUGUGCACGGUGGGCGAAAGCCGGAUACAACCAUGCCUCCUGUGUGAAGAAGGUCUUCGGGGUGUAAAGCACUUUAAGUAGCGAGGCGGUACCUACAGAAUAAGCACCGGCUAACUUCGUGCCAGCAGCCGCGGUAAAUC
rnacentral:rRNA from 1 species